GAUACGCGAGGAACCUUACCUGGGCUCAAAUGUAUGUUGACGUAUUCUGAAAGGGAUACUUCUUCGGACAAUAUACAAGGUGCUGCAUGGUUGUCGUCAGCUCGUGCCGUGAGGUGUCGGGUUAAGUCCCAUAACCGAGCGCAACCCCUAUCAUUAGUUGCCAUCAGGUCAAGCUGGGGACUCUAAUGAAACUGCCUACGCAAGUAGUGAGGAAGGUGGGGAUGACGUCAAAUCAGCACGGCCCUUACGUCCAGGGCUACACACGUGCUACAAUGGCCGGUACAAAGGGCAGCUACCUGGUGACAGGAUGCAAAUCUCCAAAGUCGGUCUCAGUUCGGAUCGGAGUCUGCAACCCGACUCCGUGAAGUUGGAUUCGCUAGUAAUCGCGCAUCAGCCAUGGCGCGGUGAAUACGUUCCCGGCCUU
rnacentral:rRNA from 1 species